rnacentral:lncRNA from 1 species
CCAUCCCAUCUAUUGCUUUAAGCCCUUUCUUGUUUUGUGCUGCUUCUUUCAGAUGAAGAAGAAUGGAAAAGAGAUUUGAUCUCUGUGCCUAUUAACCAUGCCAAUAGAAGGUUGUGUGAAAAACGAAGCUAUUGGUAGAAGUUUGGGAAAAAAUCUAGUGAUUAGACCAGCAGAAGAUCUGAACUUCGGAGAAGACCACAAAUGAAUUAAAAGACCAGUUCUCUUUUCAAAAGCUAACACGAAAUGAGGAUGGGUUUUAUACAAAAGCAGCUGCUCCUGCCAGUGAGCUUAUGCAUGUCUGUCUUUCAUAUGCCACAGUCAGACCUAGGAAAUUCCCUGGGAAGUCCCCUCUACCACAGUGCUUGCCGUUUCUCCAUUUGACUAUGAUUCUAUUGACUCUUGGGAGAUUGAUCUUCAGGAAGCUCUUAUCACAAAACAGCUCUUCCUGGAGUGAGGAGAGAGCAUGGUACCUGGGAAGACAAAGGGAGUGGACUGGGACAUGGGAAUCUGGUUUCCAUUUUAGUUCUACAACUAGCAGCCUGGUGGCUUUAGGAGGAGCCUGCCAUUUCCCUGGCCUCAAUGGUUUCAUCUGUAAAUUGGAACGGCCUGGAGAUGAUAAAAGUGAAAGCAUCCAUUACCAUGCCUGGAAGUGCUCAAGAAAUGAUUCUUUCCUGCCUGCUGACUUCCAUUUUCCAUCUGUAAGAGCAAAGAGGAGAAGAGGCACAGGAAUUCCCAGCAAAUGGACAAGAGAAGCUAUUCACAUCUUCCAAACUCUGAGACAAGACAUCCCAGGACAAAUCACUGUGAGGACUGCAGCCAGUUAUGGCAGAAGGUCCCGCAUCACUGAAUCCAGAGCUGGAGGAGUCCAGGAGACACCAGCAGUCAUUUUGCCGGAGAUAUUGAUCAGCCAGAGAAUACACGUCUGUGCACUGGGUAAGUCCAGGAGCAGGAGUGGAGGCAGGUUUACCUGAAGUAAGCAACAAUGUCCAGUGGAAUGAGG